GGCUUCUCAAUUUUGGGAAAUUAUCAAUUUGGAUUGGAGCCCAAUACUGUGACAUUUACUACCUUAAUUAAUGGGCUCUGCAUAGAUGGUAAAAUCAAUGGAGCAGUA
rnacentral:pre_miRNA from 1 species